UACGUAGGGUGCGAGCGUUGUCCGGAAUUAUUGGGCGUAAAGAGCUUGUAGGCGGUUUGUCGCGUCUGCCGUGAAAAUCCGGGGCUCAACCCCGGACUUGCGGUGGGUACGGGCAGACUAGAGUGAUGUAGGGGAGACUGGAAUUCCUGGUGUAGCGGUGAAAUGCGCAGAUAUCAGGAGGAACACCGAUGGCGAAGGCAGGUCUCUGGGCAUUAACUGACGCUGAGGAGCGAAAGCAUGGGGAGCGAACAGG
rnacentral:rRNA from 1 species